rnacentral:rRNA from 1 species
GACGAACGCUGGCGGCGUGCCUAAUACAUGCCAGUAGAACGCACAGUUUAUACCGUAGCUUGCUACACCAUAGACUGUGAGUUGCGAACGGGUGGGUAACGCGUAGGUAACCUGCCUGGUAGCGGGGGAUAACUAUUGGAAACGAUAGCUAAUACCGCAUAAUAUUGAUUAUUGCAUGAUAAUUGAUUGAAAGAUGCUAUUGCAUCACUACCAGAUGGACCUGCGUUGUAUUAGCUAGUAGGUGAGGUAACGGCUCACCUAGGCGACGAUACAUAGCCGACCGGAGAGGGUGGUCGGCCACACUGGGACUGAGACACGGCCCAGACUCCUACGGGAGGCAGCAGUAGGGAAUCUUCGGCAAGGGACGAAAGUCUGACCGAGCAACGCCGCGGGAGUGAAGAAGGAUGUCGGAUCGUAAAGCUCUGUUGUAAGAGAAGAACGGGUGUGAGAGUGGAAAGUUCACACUGUGACGGUAUCUUACCAGAAAGGGACGGCUAACUACGUG